AAGGAUCAUUAAUGAAUUCACUAUGGAGUUGUUGCUGGCCUCUAGGGGCAUGUGCACGCUUCACUAGUCUUUCAACCACCUGUGAACUUUUGAUAGAUCUGUGAAGUCGUCUUUCAAGUCGUCAGACUUGGUUUGCUGGGAUUUAAACGUCUCGGUGUGACAACGCAGUCUAUUUACUUAACACACCCCAAAUGUAUGUCUACGAAUGUCAUUUAAUGGGCCUUGUGCCUAUAAACCAUAAUACAACUUUCAACAACGGAUCUCUUGGCUCUCGCAUCGAUGAAGAACGCAGCGAAAUGCGAUAAGUAAUGUGAAUUGCAGAAUUCAGUGAAUCAUCGAAUCUUUGAACGCACCUUGCGCCCCUUGGUAUUCCGAGGGGCAUGCCUGUUUGAGUGUCAUUAAAUUCUCAAACUCACUUUGGUUUUUUCCAAUUGUGAUGUUUGGAUUGUUGGGGGCUGCUGGCCUUGACAGGUCGGCUCCUCUUAAAUGCAUUAGCAGGACUUCUCAUUGCCUCUGCGCAUGAUGUGAUAAUUAUCACUCAUCAAUAACACGCAUGAAUAGAGUCCAGCUCUCUAAUCGUCCGCAAGGACAAUUUGACAAUUUGACCUCAAAUCAGGUAGGACUACCCGCUGAACUUAA
rnacentral:rRNA from 1 species